AGUAACGCGUGAGGAACCUGCCUUUCAGAGGGGGACAACAGUUGGAAACGACUGCUAAUACCGCAUAACACAUAGGUGUCGCAUGGCAUUUAUGUCAAAGAUUUAUCGCUGAAAGAUGGCCUCGCGUCUGAUUAGCUAGUUGGUAGGGUAACGGCCUACCAAGGCGACGAUCAGUAGCCGGACUGAGAGGUUGGCCGGCCACAUUGGGACUGAGAUACGGCCCAGACUCCUACGGGAGGCAGCAG
rnacentral:rRNA from 1 species